GAGAACAGUAGUGAAUAAGCAUAAAGGUGAAAGAGAUAGGAAAAUAUCAUUAAAAUUUAAAACUGUACAACAGUUAGAUUAAAUAUAGUAUUUACAAAAUAGACCGAACGGUUUUACAAAACCAGAACCGGACGGCUAGUUAACUAAAAGAAAAUAAAAUAAACUAGUCUAAAGGCCGGAUGGGUCUGCAUAGCUUUCAGGUACGGCCUCCACGGGUUGCUCAGCCUGCACAGCAUCCUCCAGAGUGUCUUCCAAAGUAGCUUCC
rnacentral:lncRNA from 1 species